CAAAAUGUCAUCGAUGAACACCACGACAAACCUGUCUAAAUAAGGCUUGAAAACACGGUUCAUUAAAUCAAUAAAAGCUGACGGGGCAUUAGUAAGCCCAAACGGUAUAACGGUAAACUCAUAAUGUCCAUACCGUGUUCUAAAAGCCGUCUUCGACACAUCCUCAGGCUUGAUCUUCAACUGGUGAUAUCCCGACUGCAAGUCAAUCUUGGAAUAUACACAAGAUCCCUGGAGCUGAUCAAAUAGAUCAUCAAUCCUCGGUAAUGGAUACUUGUUCUUGAUCGUGACUUUAUUAAGUUCACGAUAGUCCACGCACAAGCGAAGUGAUCCAUCCUUCUUCUUCACAAACAAAACCGGUGCUCCCCAAGGUGACNUGCAAGUCAAUCUUGGAAUAUACACAAGAUCCCUGGAGCUGAUCAAAUAGAUCAUCAAUCCUCGGUAAUGGAUACUUGUUCUUGAUCGUGACUUUAUUAAGUUCACGAUAGUCCACGCACAAGCGAAGUGAUCCAUCCUUCUUCUUCACAAACAAAACCGGUGCUCCCCAAGGUGACACACUCGGUCGCACAAAACCCUUGUCCAGAAGAUUCUGCAACUAUGCCUUCAGCUCCUUCAAU
rnacentral:lncRNA from 1 species